UACGUAGGGGGCAAGCGUUGGUCCGGAUUUAUUGGGCGUAAAGAGCUCGUAGGCGGCUUGUCGCGUCGACUGUGAAAUCCGCCGGCUCAACGUGCGGGUCUGCAUCGGAUACGGCAGGCUAGAGUUCGGUAGGGGAGACUGGAAUUCCUGGUGUAGCGGUGAAAUGCGCAGAUAUCAGGAGGAACACCGAUGGCGAAGGCAGGUCUCUGGGCCGAUACUGACGCUGAGGAGCGAAAGCGUGGGAGCGAACAGG
rnacentral:rRNA from 1 species